UUAAAGUUAAUGAAUGCUUAAAUUAAUUUACUGACAAAAACAAAUGUCUGUCCUUCAGAUCCUAUAAUUUUAAUUGGAGUGGGCUACGGCUUAAUUAACAUGUAUUGAUUGUAGUCCUGAGUACAUCUAUAGGUGGGUGGACUGUGUUGGGAGAAAUCCUCCUCAGAGAUGAAGAUUUGCUGAUAACAUUCUGAAUAAUUGUCUUGUGAAGAGACAGAAGUCUUUGCUGUUUUCUCUGCAGAAAGCUUUAAACAAAAGGUGCAUGAAGAAAACAGAAAAUUGGAAGAGAGUUGGAGCAAAUAAAGAAGCGGAUGCAACUGGAAACUUUUUGGGGGAUAAAAAGGUGGGUCAGGCUGUCUCCCCUGAGGCGGGGAUGUACCUGCAGAGCUGUGGGUGAGGAGCAGCUGGGAGAAUCCUCCUCCUCCAUCCCUGUGUUCCUGGGAGCCGUGUCCAUCCUCAGGGAUGCGGGAUGUGCCCGCGAAGCGUGA
rnacentral:lncRNA from 1 species